GGUGUGACCCCAUUCGGGGCCUCUCAUAUAGAGGCAGCGAACAGCCUCCGCCGCGCCACUCUUUCAGCAUGUCACCGCGCGGCACGCUUCUCGCGGUCCUGCUACUCGUCGCGGUGACGCACGCGGGUCCCUGCGGAGACGAUGAAGACCCAGAACGUGCAAGAUUUUGGUCUUGCUUUGCGAGGAAGCUAACCACAGCGGAGAAAAACGUCAUGACCGACCUCAAGAACGUUUUCUUCCGAAGAUCCCAAAAGCAGAUCAAUUAUCAAUGGCUUUGCGACCAGCUGUCAAUGCCAGCGAGGCGACGCCAGC